rnacentral:rRNA from 1 species
UACAGAGGGGGCAAGCGUUAUUCGGAAUUAUUGGGCGUAAAGGGCGCGUAGGCGGCUAUCCAAGUGGCGGGUGAAAUCCCUCGGCUUAACCGAGGAACUGCCUGCCAGACUGGAUGGCUCGAGACCGGGAGAGGUGAGUGGAAUUCCCAGUGUAGCGGUGAAAUGCGUAGAUAUUGGGAGGAACACCAGUGGCGAAGGCGGCUCACUGGACCGGAACUGACGCUGAGGCGCGAAAGCGUGGGGGAGCAAACAGG